GGAAUCUUGGACAAUGGGGGCAACCCUGAUCCAGCGACGCCGCGUGGGUGAUGAAGGCCUUCGGGUUGUAAAGCCCUUUCGCCGGGGACGAUGAUGACGGUACCCGGAGAAGAAGCACCGGCUAACUCCGUGCCAGCAGCCGCGGUAAGACGGAGGGUGCUAGCGUUGUUCGGAAUCACUGGGCGUAAAGGGCGCGUAGGCGGCUCUGGCAGUCGGGUGUGAAAGCCCGGGGCUCAACCCCGGAACGGCACUCGAUACUCCAGGGCUCGAGGUCGGAAGAGGAGGGUGGAAUACCCAGUGUAGAGGUGAAAUUCGUAGAUAUUGGGUGGAACACCGGUGACGAAAGCGGCUCUCUGGUCCGAACCUGACGCUGAGGCGCGAAAGCGUGGGGAGCAAAC
rnacentral:rRNA from 1 species